rnacentral:rRNA from 1 species
GAUGAACGCUAGCGACAGGCCUAACACAUGCAAGUCGAGGGGCAUCGGGGUGUAGCAAUACGCUGCCGGCGACCGGCGGAUGGGUGAGUAACGCGUAUGCAACCUGCCUUCAGCAGGGGGAUAGCCCGUUGAAAGACGGAUUAAUACCCCAUAACACAGGGGCUCCGCAUGGAGAUUAUUGUUAAAGGGAUACUUCCUUCGGGGGGUAUUCCGGCUGAAGAUGGGCAUGCGUUCCAUUAGGUAGUUGGUUGAGGUAACGGCUCACCAAGCCUGCGAUGGAUAGGGGAACUGAGAGGUUGGUCCCCCACACUGGUACUGAGACACGGACCAGACUCCUACGGGAGGCAGCAGUGAGGAAUCUUGGUCAAUGGACGGAAGUCUGAACCAGCCAUGUCGCGUGAAGGAGGACGGCCCUAAGGGUUGUAAACUUCUUUUAGCAGGGGAAUAAAGUAUUCCACGAGAUGGGAUAUUGCAAGUACGCUGCGAAUAAGGAUCGGCUAACUCCGUGCC